rnacentral:rRNA from 1 species
UACGAAGGGGGCUAGCGUUGUUCGGAUUUACUGGGCGUAAAGCGCACGUAGGCGGAUCUUUAAGUCAGAGGUGAAAUCCCGGGGCUCAACCUCGGAACUGCCUUUGAUACUGAUGGUCUCGAGUCCGAUAGAGGUGAGUGGAAUUCCUAGUGUAGAGGUGAAAUUCGUAGAUAUUAGGAAGAACACCAGUGGCGAAGGCGGCUCACUGGAUCGGUACUGACGCUGAGGUGCGAAAGCGUGGGGAGCAAACAGG